rnacentral:rRNA from 1 species
UAAUACCGGAUAACGCAUAUCUGCUGGAAUGCUUUAUGCGUAAAAUGGAUUUGUCUGCCCAAGGAUGGGUCUGCGGCCUAUCAGGUAGUAGUGGGUGUAAUGUACCUACUAGCCUACGACGGGUACGGGUUGUGAGAGCAAGAGCCCGGAGAUGGAUUCUGAGACAUGAAUCCAGGCCCUACGGGGCGCAGCAGGCGCGAAAACUUUACAAUGCGGGAAACCGUGAUAAGGGGACACCGAGUGCCAGCAUCAUAUGUUGGCUGUCCAGAUGUGUAAAAUACAUCUGUUAGCAAGGGCCGGGCAAGACCGGUGCCAGCCGCCGCGGUAACACCGGCGGCCCGAGUGGUGAUCGUGAUUAUUGGGUCUAAAGGGUCCGUAGCCGGUUUGGUCAGUCCUCCGGGAAAUCUGACGGCUCAACCGUUAGGCUUUCGGUGGAUACUGCCAGACUUGGAACCGGGAGAGGUAAGAGGUACUACAGGGGUAGGAGUGAAAUCUUGUAAUCCCUGUGAGACCACCUGUGGCGAAGGCGUCUUAACAGAACCGGUUCGACGGUGAGGGACGAAAGCUGGGGGCACGAAC